CACUUAUGUUCUUCCUCAAGCUCUUCCUUCCUAGACUUUUUGGUCUUUCUAUUGCUUGUCUCAGGCUCCUACAGCCAGUACUUUUGCCCUUGCUGCUCUUGGCAAAUGCCCAAAUGCAAACGCUAUCCUUGCUCUAGUCCAUCAGGGAGCUGUCAGCCCGGUCCAAGCACACUCCCGUUUCUUUGAGAACAGAGUCUGUGUUGUUCACUCUGGCACUAGCAGCCUGCAUCAGGAGUUCAUGCUGCCAUCUUCAUGGCCACCAACAAUCUGGAGAAGGAGGGAUGGCAAGCAGGCAGUUUAAAACACCAAAGUGCUUUCUUAGUACAUUGCAGCAGCUUCUUUCUUCAUUAUACUUUCCCCAGUUGCUAGUCAUUGCCCUGCAGGUUUUUACACACCACUGCUCUUCAUUCCAUCAAGACAGCGAGCGAUGUAGCAUUUCUUUAGAAAGUGCUCUCCGCCAUCAUCCUCAGGAUUCACUCCCAGCCACUGGCACCCAUAUGUGGACAAAGACAAAUAUCCUAACUGACACUCUGGACAACAGUGAUUGUCACAUGCAUCCCAAUUUCAAUAAAAUAUAAAAAAAGUGCACUUAAUAAUUGACAAGAUGUGGGAUGUAUUUUUCCUGAGAAGUCAGAUGAGGAAGUGAUUAAGUAAGUCACAGAAAGCACCAUCGAGGCAGGCACCAUUGCUCUUGCCAGCAGAGUAGUGCAGAGGAGAAAGAGCUCUCGGUGGAACCAUCAGCUUCACACACAGGAAACCAGGCAGGUCCUGGGUAUUUGGAGUUGAGUCAGGUGCCAGUUGUUGUGAGAGGAAAUUGACUUCUUGAAGUGGGCAGUGGAGGGCUCCCACUUGAGAACUGAAACUCCAUCCUCUAGGCCAAGAAAACAUCAGCAGAUUCUAAGGAACACAGUGACGGGACGGGCUCUCUUGGGUGGCCAUCUGGAGAAUGGAUUGGAAAGGGAGAGCAAGCUGUGAGUCCAGACCUGCUGCACCCUUCCUGGGGGAGCAGGUGCAGCUGCAGCAUCACUGCCAUCAAGGAGGCAGCUGGGGACCUGGGGUGCAAGGAGGCUGGCAGAGGGGCUACUGGGUGUGGGCCAGGGAGGGAUGAAUCCACCUGAUAAAAAUGUAGGCUGGGAAGACAAAUUGCUUUUCCUUUUCUGUUGAGGAGAAUGUGAGCAGGUAUUUGGCAGGUGGGACACCCAACCCACAGAAUCCAAUUCUUGUUGUCAGUUCUGGCUACUUUACAAUCUGGGGACUCAGCCUUUUAGAUUCCAGAAGCUGAAGUGCACAUAGAAAUUGUUACCAAUCACAGCAGGUUUCAAUGACAUGCACAAGCUUUAACAGCAUGAGGGGUGCGUGACCCCAACAACCACUGGUUUUGUUCCUUUGACUCUGUCUUUCCUUUUCCAAACUCACACAUUGCGAAUAAGGUUCAUCCUGAAAAGUCAGUAUUUUUGGAUAUAAACAUGUAACAUAUAAAAAUUUCAUGGCCGGGUGCGGUGGCUCACGCCUGUAAUCCCAGCACUUUGGGAGGCCAAGGCAGGCAGAUUACCUGAGGCCAGCAGCUGGAGACCAGCCUGGCCAACAUGGUGAAACCUCGUCUCUACUAAAAAUACAAAAAUUAACUGGGCGUGGUGGCACACACCUAUAAUCCCAGCUACUCGGGAGGCUGAGGCAGGAGAAUUGCUUGAGCCGGGGACAUGGAGGUUGCAGUGAGCCAAGAUUGUGCCACUGUACUCCAGCCUGGCCAACAGAGCGAGACUCUAUCUAAAAAAAAAAAAAAAUCGCUAUUGUGACCCAAAACUCGGGAAAAUAAGCCAUAAAUUUAAAAUAGCCCGAAGGCAGAAGGGAAACAAAACCAUCUAAUCUGAUAGCUGAGAAUAACAAUCUGAAGAAAGCACUAAAAAGUUUCCCACCUCUUGAAACUUCAUUUCAUAUUUACGUUUAGAGAGCACUCCUCAAAAACGUUUUAUUUUUUCAGACUGUAAUUUGGAGCAGAACUGCUCUUCUGCCAUUUCAAUUAUCCAAAUAUGAUCCCUAGGAUGAGAGAGAGCUGAAUUAUGGUCAACUUCGUCCUAUGAAUGAAGGGGAGCCAGAUUGGCUUUUGGACCCCAACAAACAGCUUAUAUUAACUCAAACACAUUUUAACCGUUUUCAACCUCCUGA
rnacentral:lncRNA from 1 species